GGGCGGUUAGCUCAGUUGGUUAGAGUACUUGCUCGACACGCAAGAGGUCACUGGUUCGAGUCCAGUACCGCCCACCA
rnacentral:tRNA from 11 species